UCCGGAUUGGUGCAGAGAUGUAGUUUCCCUUGUGGCUGGUGUACAGGUGGUGCAUGGUUGUCGUCAGCUCGUGUCGUGAGAUGUUGGGUUAAGUCCCGCAACGAGCGCAACCCUUGUCUUAUGUUGCCAGCAUUUGGUUGGGGACUCAUGAGAGACUGCCGGGGUUAACUCGGAGGAAGGUGGGGAUGACGUCAAAUCAUCAUGCCCCUUAUGUCCAGGGCUUCACACAUGCUACAAUGGUCGGUACAACGCGCAGCGACACUGUGAGGUGGAGCGAAUCGCUGAAAGCCGGCCUUAGUUCGGAUUGGGGUCUGCAACUCGACCCCAUGAAGUCGGAGUCGCUAGUAAUCGCAGAUCAGCAACGCUGCGGUGAAUACGUUCCCGGGCCUUGUACACACCGCCCGUCACGUCAUGAAAGUUGGUAACACCCGAAGCCAGUGGCCUAAACUGUAGGGAGCUUCGAACGGUGGAUUGG
rnacentral:rRNA from 1 species